UGGCCGGGGGGGUGCUAAUACAUGCAGUCGAGCGAACAGAUGAGAAGCUUGCUUCUCUGAUGUUAGCGGCGGACGGGUGAGUAACACGUGGGUAACCUACCUAUAAGACUGGGAUAACUCCGGGAAACCGGGGCUAAUACCGGAUAAUAUUUUGAACCGCAUGGUUCAAUAGUGAAAGACGGUUUCGGCUGUCACUUAUAGAUGGACCCGCGCCGUAUUAGCUAGUUGGUAAGGUAACGGCUUACCAAGGCGACGAUACGUAGCCGACCUGAGAGGGUGAUCGGCCACACUGGAACUGAGACACGGUCCAGACUCCUACGGGAGGCAGCAGUAGGGAAUCUUCCGCAAUGGGCGAAAGCCUGACGGAGCAACGCCGCGUGAGUGAUGAAGGUCUUCGGAUCGUAAAACUCUGUUGUUAGGGAAGAACAAAUUUGUUAGUAACUGAACAAGUCUUGACGGUACCUAACCAGAAAGCCACGGCUAACUACGUGCCAGCAGCCGCGGUAAUACGUAGGUGGCAAGCGUUAUCCGGAAUUAUUGGGCGUAAAGCGCGCGUAGGCGGUUUCUUAAGUCUGAUGUGAAAGCCCACGGCUCAACCGUGGAGGGUCAUUGGAAACUGGGAAACUUGAGUGCAGAAGAGGAGAGUGGAAUUCCAUGUGUAGCGGUGAAAUGCGCAGAGAUAUGGAGGAACACCAGUGGCGAAGGCGGCUCUCUGGUCUGUAACUGACGCUGAUGUGCGAAAGCGUGGGGAUCAAACAGGAUUAGAUACCCUGGUAGUCCACGCCGUAAACGAUGAGUGCUAAGUGUUAGGGGGUUUCCGCCCCUUAGUGCUGCAGCUAACGCAUUAAGCACUCCGCCUGGGGAGUACGACCGCAAGGUUGAAACUCAAAGGAAUUGACGGGGACCCGCACAAGCGGUGGAGCAUGUGGUUUAAUUCGAAGCAACGCGAAGAACCUUACCAAAUCUUGACAUCCUUUGACCGCUCUAGAGAUAGAGUCUUCCCCUUCGGGGGACAAAGUGACAGGUGGUGCAUGGUUGUCGUCAGCUCGUGUCGUGAGAUGUUGGGUUAAGUCCCGCAACGAGCGCAACCCUUAAGCUUAGUUGCCAUCAUUAAGUUGGGCACUCUAGGUUGACUGCCGGUGACAAACCGGAGGAAGGUGGGGAUGACGUCAAAUCAUCAUGCCCCUUAUGAUUUGGGCUACACACGUGCUACAAUGGAUAAUACAAAGGGCAGCGAAUCCGCGAGGCCAAGCAAAUCCCAUAAAAUUAUUCUCAGUUCGGAUUGUAGUCUGCAACUCGACUACAUGAAGCUGGAAUCGCUAGUAAUCGUAGAUCAGCAUGCUACGGUGAAUACGUUCCCGGGUCUUGUACACACCGCCCGUCACACCACGAGAGUUUGUAACACCCGAAGCCGGUGGAGUAACCUUUUAGGAGCUAGCCGUCGAAGGUUGAACCAA
rnacentral:rRNA from 1 species